UCCCAACAGCUCAGUCGCUAGAGCAUGAGACUCCUAAUCUCAGGGUCAUGGAUUUGAGUCCUACGUUGGGCA